AUGCAGUUGAGCGCUGAAGGUUGGUACUUGUACCGACUGGAUGAGCAGCGAAUGGGUGAGUAACGCGUGGGGAAUCUGCCUUUGAGCGGGGGACAACAUUUGGAAACGAAUGCUAAUACCGCAUAAAAACUUUAAACACAAGUUUUAAGUUUGAAAGAUGCAAUUGCAUCACUCAAAGAUGAUCCCGCGUUGUAUUAGCUAGUUGGUGAGGUAAAGGCUCACCAAGGCGAUGAUACAUAGCCGACCUGAGAGGGUGAUCGGCCACAUUGGGACUGAGACACGGCCCAAACUCCUACGGGAGGCAGCAGUAGGGAAUCUUCGGCAAUGGACGAAAGUCUGACCGAGCAACGCCGCGUGAGUGAAGAAGGUUUUCGGAUCGUAAAACUCUGUUGGUAGAGAAGAACGUUGGUGAGAGUGGAAAGCUCAUCAAGUGACGGUAACUACCCAGAAAGGGACGGCUAACUACGUGCCAGCAGCCGCGGUAAUACGUAGGUCCCGAGCGUUGUCCGGAUUUAUUGGGCGUAAAGCGAGCGCAGGUGGUUUAUUAAGUCUGGUGUAAAAGGCAGUGGCUCAACCAUUGUAUGCAUUGGAAACUGGUAGACUUGAGUGCAGGAGAGGAGAGUGGAAUUCCAUGUGUAGCGGUGAAAUGCGUAGAUAUAUGGAGGAACACCGGUGGCGAAAGCGGCUCUCUGGGCUGUAACUGACACUGAGGCUCGAAAGC
rnacentral:rRNA from 1 species